AUGAGUCUGACGUUGCCGCUUCUCAGGCACAUAACAAACAAUUUCUCCGAUGAAUCUGUAAUUGGUUCAGGUGGAUUUUCGACAGUUUACCUGGGGGUGCUUCCAAGUGGGUUACAUAUUGCUGUAAAGAAGAUUGCCAAUAAGCAUACUAUUGAUGAAAGUGCAUUUCAAAAUGAAGUGUUUAUCACAAUGAAGGUUGCCCACAAGAACACAUUGCGAUUCAUAGGCUACUGUAGUCACACGGAAGCUAAACACUUCGAAGUCAACGGACAACAUGUUUUUGCAGAGGACAGGGAAAGGUUGAUCUGUGUGGAGUAUGUGCCUAAUGGAACCCUUGAUACACGUGUCGGUGAGUAUGGUGAACUUGACUGGAACCAGCGUUAUCAAAUUCUAAAAGGAAUUUGUCAGGGUCUAUGUCAUCUCCAUGAGACAUUGCAUGUUGUUCACGGAGAUAUCAAACCAAGCAAUAUAUUAAUAGGGGAUAACCACGUGCCAAAAUUUUUUGACUUCGGUAUGUCCCGGUCCUUUGAUGAUGGAGAAACUUCAGGUUACACCAAAGACGUCAAGGGAACUAUAGGAUAUAUGGCUCCAGAGAUGAUUGAAGGUCAUUGGUCAACUAAGUCUGACAUAUACAGCUUGGGCAUUAUGAUCACAGAGUUAUUGACUGGGAAGAAAGGGUGCGGGCCAAGUGUUGAGCAAGGUACUUAA
rnacentral:rRNA from 1 species